ACUCUUCAUACGCAGUGUACUUCCGGCUGCGACAUCAAAAAGUUAUUCCUGGACAGGAAGAUAGCGGCUGAACAGAGGAAUGAACGGCGAAGGCGAGAUUGCUGCAGUCAACCGAUCCGAUGUGACGUGCAAUGGACAACUUGGUGUUUGUUCGGAUCAUUUAAUUUCAGCCGCCGCCGUCGAGGUGAGCUGUAGAUGCGAUGACAUCAUCGGCCCUGCAGCCAUGGGGAUCCCCGAACAAGAACACACAUUCUUUGCGUGUCAAGUCCCUACCGAGGCUCUUUCGGAACACAUGGCGUGACUCCCUUUCAGGACUCAGUUGGAUCUGCGGGGUGUCGGCCAUGGAGGCGGCCGCCCACUGCAGCAGGCUCCUCAGCUGAGGGUCCAGGGUGACGUGCUGAGGCCCUCGCCUGAGCUCGCGGACAUCCGAGUUCAGGAUCAUCAGUGAAGAAGCCCUGGAAGCCUGCACCUGUGUCGUGUCCACACGCAGGGUCCCUGCAGCGUGAUAGGAAAACGUUCUAAUAUUUUGGAAUGCUUACUGACCUGUCUGAGGGAGACGAUGACAUGCGCUCCUCAAAGGGCUCCCCCUCCAGGCCCAGACUGCUCCAGCUACUACUGUUCCCAUUGCUGCUGGAAAGACAAGGGACAGGUAACCACGAUUACACACACACAACUGUCAAGCUUCAAAAAGUUCUCUUUCAAAGUAUAGCUUUCUUUUUGUGGUUAAGAGUUCAUGUCAUGGUGGGAACUUGUUCCUCAAGUCCAUCUCCAAGGCCUUUGAGGAUGUAUUUUACUUUCCCCUCUUUUCAUCUGCUGAGCGGAAACGGUCGC